rnacentral:rRNA from 1 species
UACGAAGGGGGCUAGCGUUGCUCGGAAUCACUGGGCGUAAAGGGCGCGUAGGCGGCCAUUCAAGUCAGAGGUGAAAGCCCAAGGCUCAACCUUGGAAUUGCCUUUGAUACUGUUUGGCUUGAGACCGGAAGAGGUUAGUGGAACUGCGAGUGUAGAGGUGAAAUUCGUAGAUAUUCGCAAGAACACCAGUGGCGAAGGCGGCUAACUGGUCCGGUUCUGACGCUGAGGCGCGAAAGCGUGGGGAGCAAACGGG